CGUCUAUAUACGUAUAGCAUAUCAAUAAGCGGAGGAAAAGAAACUAACUAGGAUUCCCUCAGUAACGGCGAGUGAAGCGGGAAGAGCUCAAAUUUGAAAUCUUAAAGGGUUCUACCUUGACGAAUUGUAGUUUAAAGAAGUGUUUUCUGUUGGAGUUUCGGUAAAAGUUCUUUGGAAUAGGACAUCAUAGAGGGUGAGAAUCCCGUAUUUGACCAUUACUUUCCAACUGUGUGAUACACUUUCAAAGAGUCGGAUUGUUUGGGAAUGCAGUCCAAAAUGGGUGGUAAAUUUCAUCUAAAGCUAAAUAUUGGCGAGAGACCGAUAGCGAACAAGUACCGUGAGGGAAAGAUGAAAAGAACUUUGAAAAGAGAGUUAAACAGUACGUGAAAUUGUCAAAAGGGAAGCGUUUGACACCAGUGUUGUUUUCUCGAAAAUCAAUUAAAAAUGGUGGGAUUUUGUGUUGUAUUGACUUUAUCAGCUUCUGCACUUUUUUCCUAUCUUUUUUAAUGCACUUUUCGUUUAACAAGUCAACAUCAAUUUCUUUUGUUGUAAAAGAGUCAUUGGAAGGUGGCUUUCAUUUCGGUAGAAAGUGUUUAUAGCCUUUGACUUCUGCAAUCGGAGAGAUUGAGGUCUGCAGCGUAGAUCCUUCGGGGUUAGAUACAUUUGUGCUAAGCUAUAGCCUUUUCAUAGACAACAUUGUUGACUAUGAUCAUCAUGUAGCUUACUCGCUUAUGUCAUUUUACCUACGCUUAGGAUGUUGACGAUCAGCUGAGCGCG
rnacentral:rRNA from 1 species